CAGUUGACGAUGAUUCUGGUACUUGUAUCAGAAUGAAGAGUAGCGAACGGGCGAUAAACGCGUGGGUAACCUACCUCUUAGCGGGGGACAACUCUUGGAAACGAUAGCUAAUACCGCAUAACAAUAAUUAACACAUGUUGAUUAUUUGAAAGUACCAAUUGGUACACUAGGAGAUGGACCCGCGUUGUAUUAGCUAGUUGGUAGUGUAAUGGACUACCAAGGCGAUGAUACAUAGCCGACCUGAGAGGGUGAUCGGCCACAUUGGGACUGAGACACGGCCCAAACUCCUACGGGAGGCAGCAGUAGGGAAUCUUCGGCAAUGGACGAAAGUCUGACCGAGCAACGCCGCGUGAGUGAAGAAGGUUUUCGGAUCGUAAAACUCUGUUGUUAGAGAAGAACGUUGUGUAGAGUGGAAAAUUACACAAGUGACGGUAUCUAACCAGAAAGGGACGGCUAACUACGUGCCAGCAGCCGCGGUAAUACGUAGGUCCCGAGCGUUGUCCGGAUUUAUUGGGCGUAAAGCGAGCGCAGGUGGUUUAAUAAGUCUGAUGUAAAAGGCAGUGGCUCAACCAUUGUGUGCAUUGGAAACUGUUAGACUUGAGUGCAGUAGAGGAGAGUGGAAUUCCAUGUGUAGCGGUGAAAUGCGUAGAUAUAUGGAGGAACACCGGUGGCGAAAGCGGCUCUCUGGACUGUAACUGACACUGAGGCUCGAAAGCGUGGGUAGCAAACAGGAUUAGAUACCCUGGUAGUCCACGCCGUAAACGAUGAGUGCUAGUUGUUUGGGGCUAUCCAGCCCUAAGUGACGCAGCAAACGCAUU
rnacentral:rRNA from 1 species